rnacentral:tRNA from 1 species
AUCUCUAUAUAGUUUAUAAAACAUUAAAUUGCAAAUUUAAAGAAA